UCACGAGAUACAAAGAGAUUUCAAUGGGUUUAAUCGACAUACGUUGGCCUCUAUCUUUCUCUCUCACAGGUUUUCAAACAAUUAUGAAAAGUUUAGGUCACACCAAAUGAACUGAAUUAGACUUUGAGCAGGUAAAUAGUGCAAACACCAUUCAGCUUAAAUAGAUAAACAGAUUUCAGAAAUUCGCGUAAAUGAAGGAGUGGCAGGAUAUUGAGAGAGAGAAUAAUGAAAGGAGAUACAAAGAAUAAACAGAUAAAGAAGAAGAAAAAAAGCAAUGACUGCCAUAACGCAUCUCCUGCUAAAGUUAAACUAUAUUUAAUUAUGUAACUGAAUACAAUUUAUUCAUUCUCGAGAACCAGAACAGACUGGAACGGAUUAUUAAAGACUGGAACGGAUUAUUAAAGACUGGAACGGAUUAUUAAAGACUAGAACGGAUUAUUAAAGACUGGAACGGAUUAUUAAAGACUGGAACGGAUUAUUAAAGACUUCCACAGCUGAAAAUAUUUUGCCUUGCGACAUGGACAUUAAAAAAAUCAAGGAGAAAAUUGAAUCUGGGGACAUCGAAGGUGCGAAAAGCAUGAUAGAAAGCCGUUCAGACAGAAUUAACCUAAGAGAUUCAAACGGUAAAACUUAUCUGAUGGCUGCUUCUGCAGAGGGCAACAUAGUUUUAAUAAACUUGUUAAUAGAUGCUGGAGCAGAUUUGGACAAGAGAGACACAAGGGGUCGGACAGCUUUUUAUCAUGCUGUGUUUGGGUAAGUUCAGAAUUACCUAAAAUCUCCAGAUCUGUUUUUGUUUCUCGAUUUCUUCCAAUUUCAGACAGGUUAAAUAUCCAAAGAUGCCAUAGUAGUAGCAGUGGAACAACAGGAUGACAACAUGACAACAGUAACC